GCUAUUGCAUGGCCUCAUUUUGAAGCCUUUGAAGCUAACUGAGAAAGAAUAGUUAUGGAGGGCUAAAGAACAUGCUCUGAGGGAGACAUUGGUCAAGAAACACAAAAAUGUCAGGAACAGCAAAGAAGCUCAAAAGAUCUGACUGUGACUUGAAAAUCAGUAACAGAGGUGCCUUCCCUGGCAACCAGGGCCACUCUAGCUGGGGAACAGGUUCUCUCUUGCCCCCGCUGUCUUCAAGAAGCGAGGGAGCAGACAGCAGAGAGGAUACAUAUGAAGUACUCUGUAAACUCGGUAUUACCAGCCUUUAAACGGGAUGAAGCAACGUAAAAAUAGAUCACCACGAAGGAUUUAAAUGAAACAGGUUUGCACUCAGU
rnacentral:lncRNA from 1 species